rnacentral:rRNA from 1 species
GACGAACGCUGGCGGCGUGCCUAAUACAUGCAAGUCGAACGCAGUGGGGACGGGUGAGUAACACGUGGGUAACCUCCCAUCAGAGGGGAUAACACUUGGAAACAGGUGCUAAACCGAUACUGAAUGAUGGACUCGCGGUGCAUUAGCUAGUUGGUGGGGUAAAGGCUCACCAAGGCUACGAGGCAUAGCCGGCCUGAGAGGGUGAUCAGCCACACUGGGACUGAGACACGGCCCAGACUCCUACGGGAGGCAGCAGUAGGGAAUCUUCGGCAAUGGACGAAAGUCUGACCGAGCCAUGCCGCGUGAGUGAAGAAGGUUUUCGGGUCGUAAAACUCUGUUGUUAGAGAAGCGGUAUCUAACCAGGAAGCCACGGCUAACUACGUGCCAGCAGCCGCGGUAAUAC